GUGAAAGUGAAGUUGAUCAGUUCUGUCCGACCCUCAGCGACCCCAUGGACUGCAGCCUUCCAGGCUCCUCCAUCCAUGGGAUUUUCCAGGCAAGAGUACUGGAGUGGGGUGCCAUUGCCUUCUCUGACCUUCUCUUUGGUGACAAAGUCCAUCUGAAUAUCGAUGUGAAGCUUUCACUAGGGUGCUUAGUGAUGGGGAAGCUAUGCUAUCUGAUCUGCGGUCUAAGAAUUAACCUCCAACAGCAUUGCGUCGGCGACCAAGUCAUCAGAGGCAUCGGAGAGCAAAGAGGAUUUUUGCAGCCAGUGGCUUCAAACUACCGUUGAUCCGGUGUGGCCAUGGG
ensembl:lncRNA